rnacentral:rRNA from 1 species
GACGAACGCUGGCGGCGUGCCUAAUACAUGCAAGUCGAACGCAGUGGGGACGGGUGAGUAACACGUGGGUAACCUCCCAUCAGAGGGGAUAACACUUGGAAACAGGUGCUAAACCGAUACUGAUGGAUGGACCCGCGGUGCAUUCGGUAGUUGGGGAGGUAACGGCUCACCAAGGCCACGAUGCAUAGCCGACCGUAGAGGGUGGUCGCCCACACUGGGACUGAGACACGGCCCCGACUCCUACGGGAGGCAGCAGUAGGGAAUCUUCGGCAAUGGACGAAAGUCUGACCGAGCAACGCCGCGUGAGUGAAGAAGGUUUUCGGAUCGUAAAACUCUGUUGUUAGAGAAGCGGUAACUAAAGAGAAAGCAACGGCUAACUACGUGCCAGCCGCCGCGGUAAUAG